rnacentral:lncRNA from 1 species
AUCCAUAUUGAUUUACUAUUAUAAUUUCAACCAACGGUCUGAAAAAUUAGCAUAUCUCCACAUGGAAUAAUAUUGUACUCAAAAAUGAUUUGGACCGAAAAGAAAUAUAUUUUUUGGGUGAAUAGUACCCCAUGAAUAGUACCCCGACACGAAAAGUGUCCCAAAUACCCGAGUGAAUAAUACUAGAGUGAAUAGUAAUUGGGUGAAUAGUAACUCGUGAAUAGUACUCCAACACAGAAAGUGUCCCAAAUACCCGAGUAAAUAGUAAUCGGGUGAAUAGUAACCCUUGAAUAG